rnacentral:rRNA from 1 species
AACGAACGCUGGCGGCAUGCCUAACACAUGCAAGUCGAACGAGACCAUCGGGUGUUGUGGCGCACGGGUUCGUAACGCGUGGGAAGCUGCACUUAGGUUCGGACUAACUCCCCGAAAGGGGUGCUAAUACCGGAUCAUGUCUUCGGACCAAAGAUUUAUCGCCUUUGGUUGGGCCCUCGUGGGAUUAGCUAGUUGGUAUGGUAAAAGCCUACCAAGGCGACGAUUCAUAGCUGGUCUGAGAGGAUGAUCAGCGACACUGGGACUGAGACACGGCCCAGACUCCUACGGAAAGCAGCAGUGGGUAAUAUUGGACCAUGGGCGAAGGCAUGAUCCAGCAAUGCCGCGUGAGUGAUGAAGGCCUUAGGGUUGUAAAGCUCUUUUACCCGGGAUGAUAAUGACAGUACCGGGAGAAUAAGCUCCGGCUAACUCCGUG